rnacentral:snRNA from 1 species
UUAGUAAUGGUAAUUAUAAACUA